rnacentral:rRNA from 1 species
CCCUGCCAUUUGUACACACCGCCCGUCGCUAGUACCGAUUGAAUGGCUUAGUGAGACCUCCGGAUUGGCGAUUCCUUGGUGGCAACACCAUAGAGUUGCUGAAAAGCUGGUCAAACUUGGUCAUUUAGAGGAACUAAAAGUCGUAACAAG